rnacentral:miRNA from 1 species
CGGGGCUGGGCUGGGCUGGGCUGGGGCGGGCGGGCGAGCACCUGCGGCUGCCG